CUCCUACUGCUUAUAUAGGUGGAAGCAGAAGUAGCCUCACUAAAAGGAAAGCUCAAGUGAGAGUGAAGCUCCAGUGAGCGUGAACUUUUCUGCAACUGAGAAAGCGCAUUCCCAGGUUAAAAUUCUAGUCAUGGCUGACAGAGGCAGGAGACCACCUCCACCCACUCAUGUUGGGCGCAGCAACAUCCCUCCCGUCUCCUCUAACGUAGAGGAAGAAGCCCUCCCUGAGUUUGAACCCUUUGGCAUUCCCAGAGGACCACCUAAUCUGAAAGACAGUUAAAGCACGACUCCGGAGCUGUCGCUAAGGGUCAGCACUGUCCGGAGCACCACUGCACCCUGCACUAUCUGUGUUUGCACUAAAGCACCAUCACGACUGCACUCACCCAGGACUGGUGACCGUCUGUUUGUUUUUGUUCGGGACUGUGCCCUGUUUAUUGUUAUCCCCGUGCGUUACACAUUGUUGUGUAUCGCCGGGGAUUUAGUUAUUUUUCGGUCACCAGACCUGGAAAAGAAAUAAAGCACUUUU